rnacentral:tmRNA from 1 species
GGGGAUGCCCUGGUUUCGACAGGGAUUUUGAAGAAAGAUAAGCGAGCCGUCAGGCAGUUGACGUUAAAAAGGCAACUAAAUUUAACUGCUAACGAUAACGAAUUAGCUUACGCUGCUUAGUUAAAAGCAGCCGGCCCUCCGGAUGGACCCGUAACAUACGGACUGGCCUCAACCAUGUCGGGAAACUUCUUGUGCUAAGCUUUGCCCACAAGUUGGAUCAAUGAAGCUACCGGGUGUUUUGGCUUGUUUAUUGGCUUAGCCACCCGGGAAUCAAAUUCAAUAAACUACGCUCGUAGAAGUUCUUUUGAAUGAGUUUCUGGACGCGGGUUCGAUUCCCGCCAUCUCCAU